UGCAGUCGAACGGGAUCCGGACUUCGGUUCGGUGAGAGUGGCGGACGGGUGAGUAACGCGUGGGAACCUGCCCAGUGGUGGGGGAUAACUGCGGGAAACUGCAGCUAAUACCGCAUGAGCCCGAGAGGGGAAAGAUUUAUCGCCAUUGGAGGGGCCCGCGUUCGAUUAGGUAGUUGGUGAGGUAACGGCUCACCAAGCCGACGAUCGAUAGCUGGUCUGAGAGGAUGAUCAGCCACACUGGGACUGAGAUACGGCCCAGACUCCUACGGGAGGCAGCAGUGGGGAAUAUUGGACAAUGGGGGCAACCCUGAUCCAGCAAUGCCGCGUGAGUGAUGAAGGCCUUCGGGUUGUAAAGCUCUUUUGCCAGGGACGAUGAUGACGGUACCUGGAGAAUAAGCCCCGGCUAACUUCGUGCCAGCAGCCGCGGUAAUACGAAGGGGGCAAGCGUUGUUCGGAAUUACUGGGCGUAAAGGGCGCGUAGGCGGCUUAUCAAGUCAGGCGUGAAAUUCCCGGGCUCAACCUGGGGGCUGCGCUUGAUACUGAUGAGCUUGAAUGCGGGAGAGGAUAGUGGAAUUCCCAGUGUAGAGGUGAAAUUCGUAGAUAUUGGGAAGAACACCGGUGGCGAAGGCGGCUAUCUGGCCCGUAAUUGACGCUGAGGCGCGAAAGCGUGGGGAGCAAACAGGAUUAGAUACCCUGGUAGUCCACGCCGUAACGAUGAAUGCUAGACGUUGGGCGAGCAUGCUCGUCAGUGUCGGAGCUAACGCAUUAGCAU
rnacentral:rRNA from 1 species